rnacentral:misc_RNA from 1 species
UGCUCUCUCUGUUUUGAUGCGGUGCAAGUGGGAUAAUGAAAUUUACACCAGGGCGUCAUCACUGUAUAACCUCAUUGAUAUUCACAGUAAAGCUGUUGCAUCUAUAGUUACCAAGGCUGAGCCUUUAGAGGCCUACUUGCAAGUACCAGUUUGGAAAGAUUCCCUUAUGUGUUUUGAUGGCAAAAGGCAAAACAAAAGAGCAAGCAGUGGCUGCUUUGAUUCAGG